rnacentral:lncRNA from 1 species
UAUAUGAUAGCUCAAAUUACCUUAUAGAGAAAAUAAUAUUAGAUAGAUUAACUAUUAAGUCUUCGUUUGGGAUUGCGGGGAGAUUCCGUUACGUGUGCAGUGAGAAAGUACGUUGGAAAAAUACCCUGUUUGUUUCCGUACGUAAUAUUGCGUUCCGUAUAUCGCGAUGAGUCGGUUACGAUAUAUUUUCUGCGGUCCCACCGGAGAACGCAGAAGCAUAUCCCUAUAUGCUUUUUCCUCAACUAUAUUUCAUCUAAUAGCAUUAGAUAGACCUCAAUACCAAACUAAGCCUAAAGCUAACUGAGUUAUAAAAUUUACUAAAAGAUUUUAAAUU